rnacentral:rRNA from 1 species
UGGGGAAUAUUGGACAAUGGGCGCAAGCCUGAUCCAGCCAUGCCGCGUGAGUGAAGAAGGCCUUCGGGUUGUAAAGCUCUUUUGUCCGGAAAGAAAAGCCUUCGGUUAAUACCCGGGGGUGAUGACGGUACCGGAAGAAUAAGCACCGGCUAACUUCGUGCCAGCAGCCGCGGUAAUACGAAGGGUGCAAGCGUUACUCGGAAUUACUGGGCGGAAAGCGUGCGUAGGUGGUUCGUUAAGUCUGAUGUGAAAGCCCUGGGCUCAACCUGGGAAUGGCAUUGGAAACUGGCGACCUAGAGUGCGGUAGAGGGUAGUGGAAUUCCCGGUGUAGCGGUGAAAUGCGUAGAUAUCUGGAGGAACACCGGUGGCGAAGGCGGCAUCCUGGACCGACAUUGACGCUGAGGCGCGAAAGCCAGGGGAGCAAA